CUCUACGUAUCGCAUUAUCUGCACAACUACGAGGGGAGUGUACGAGCGAACAAGAUGGCACUGAAAAGCACAGUAUUGACAAGAUAGCUGUCAAGACAAUGUCCACCAUUUCGUGCAGGGCCGGUCCUCCCAUUAGGCAAGAUUAGGCAGCCGCCUAGGGUAGCACUAGAAUUAGAGGAGGCAUUUUGACAAUAGGCUGCCUCCCUCAAUUUUGACAAUAGGCUGCCUCCCUCAAUUUUGACAAUAGGCCGCCUACCUCCAUUUUGAUAAUAGGGUGCCUCCCUCCAUUUUGACAAUAGUCUGCCUCCCUCCAGCUUGACAAUAGGCUGCCUCCAUCCAGCUUGACAAUAGGCUGCCUCCAUCCAGCUUGACAAUAGGAUGCCUCCCUCCAGCUUGACAAUAGGCUGCCUCCCACCAGCUUGACAAUUUGCGGAUAUCCUCCAGGGCCCCUGAUCGGAGGCACCCCAGCCACCAGCUCGUAGCAUUUCUGCAGUUCCUGCCCUCACCCCAUUUGCUCUUCUCCCGUAGUUCACUCCCACUACUGGUAGCUGUCAACGAAGUGAUAGCAACAUUGUAACGCCGAUGCAGAGGUUAAAGUAAAGUUCCCUUGUGCCUGCCAAGACACUGAGAAACGUGGUGUGUCCCAUUGUGGCGGGCUUUACAAUGAACAGGCCAAGACAAGACAGAAAUAACAGGAUUGUUUUCUCCACAUUGGGUUACAUCGUCCUGGACCCCCGGCACCAGAUGACAGCCACUGUCCAUUCCUAGUCCAUUUGCCUUCAGUAUAGCAGUGGGCAGUGUACACUUUUCCCAGUAAGUUUGAAGACGGAGUGAGGACCUUUGACCUUCUUGGGUUCGACAACUCUUUGUUGGAGUCCAAGGCUACUGUGCUUGAUGCCCUGGUGGAAAUAAAGACAAAUGACCAACCUUCCAGUGAUCCUGAAGCAGCUUGUGGUGCCGGCUAUAAAAAUCAGCAUGCUUCUGCCAGCAACGUGGCUAAAUCCCAAGUGGCUUGCUGUGGAUCUGCGUGACGGAGCAGCUGGAAUUUGAAAAUGUCCUUCUCCACUAUUCCGAUGUCUCCAACGUCAUUGCCAACAUAUGCAGGCAGUUUGCUGCUCUGAAGAAGAGGAUAGCUGAUAUUUCAAACCUGGACAGGCACUUGGAAUAUCUGGUGGCAGUGAACAUCAAUGCCACACGUGUUCCAGAUGAGUAGCUGUCCAACCUUGAGGAGAUCCUGUUGACCCAGGAAGUGAUGGCUAUAUUUCUGUAAUCUUCCAUGACCAAAGAAGUAAUCUUUCAGUUUUUGUGUAUAUUAGUUUGGACAUUGCCAAGUUAUCUGCCAUAAGUUUUGAUAGUUAUGCAAAGGACAUUUGUCUAUUUGCAGAUUGAUUCUACAGAGAAUGCUACAUCUGAGAAACUGCCUCUGUUUGAUGUCUCCAACCUGAACUACAAUGAUGACAUUAACCUAGAGGUCCUCCUGCAAGAGGUGAAGAAUUAGGAGGCUGGGUUUUACACAUGUCCAAAUUAACUAUAUUACGUAACAAACUUCUAUUACACUUUAACAAAUUAACUAUGAUAAGGAAGGACAGUGGAAGGAAUCAUAAAACAGACAUGCAUUUUUAUUUGCACAUCAUCAUUGAAAAUUAUUGGAAUUGUCAUUCAUUAUAAUUUAUAAUUAUUGUAGAGAAUGGAGCUGGAGGUGAACAGGCUAAAAAUAAAAAAAAUCCCAUUAAGAGGUUCUUCAGCCGCCUCUGGAAGAUCAUUACGUGUCCCUCAGGAAUCUCCAGAGAAGAAGAUAAAUGAGACGUUUCCAUGGAAGACAAAUUAUAUGCCAAAUUACCUACCACCAACAAAGGCGAUUAGAAUAUGUUUUCUAAACGCCCCUAAAACCCAUUUUUAUAUCUUGUAUUUGCUAAUUGUCAUACUGUUCUGUAGAGUUAAACUAUGACUUGUAACCAUGCUAUCAUUUUUUAUGUAUAUUAAGGAGAGUAGCUGCACAUACAGUCCCAGACCCAAAUUUGUUUACAGCUCCAGGAAAGACACAACACCCUUUUCUGAUUAAAAAGAAA